GGGAUUUUCUUAGAAUCCCGUACGUAACAUGUUAAUAGCAUGGUUUUUGGCCGAGCUGUGUGGUUAGGUAAAGC
ncrna:unclassified sequences L13-Bacteroidia ribosomal protein leader